rnacentral:misc_RNA from 1 species
UGAUGAUCGAACUAUCUGGUUAUGCAAUGCUCAAUAUGCGGAGAGUAGUGUAUUCUCCCGCUCCUUGCUUGCAAAGAGCGCAUCAAUUCAGACUGUGGUUUGCUUUCCCUACCUUGAUGGUGUUAUUGAACUAGGUGUAACUGAGCAGGUCUCGGAGGAUCCUAAUCUUCUUCAACAUGUCAAAGAUUUUUUACUGAAGUUCUCAAAGCCAAUAUGCUCUAAGAAACCUUUUUCCGCUGCUUAUAAAGAUGAUAAUGGUAAAGAACUAAUGACUGCCAAAUCUGACAAUGAGAUUGUUGAAGUUUUGGCAAUGGAGAACCUCUACUGCUUGACAGGCGUGAACUUUGACGGGAAGGCAGUAAAUGGGAUUCAAAGGAAAAACAAUGAGUUUGGCAUUGAUUCUCUCAAUGAUUUUUCGAAUGGUUGUGAACAAUAUCAUCACCAAGUGGAAAGUCCUUUAAGACUUGAAGGUGUCGAGGGAGGGGCUUCUCGUUUCCAGAGUUUGCAGUUUCUGGAUGAUGACUUCAGUUACGGUUUUCAAGAUUCCAUGAAUCCUAGUGACUGUAUUUCUGAAGCUUUGGCAAAUCAGGAG